CGGUAGCACUAAAUAGCAAGCUUUCCGAACGUAUCUUUGCUUUUUUGACGUAUUAUUUUAAAGCGCAAGUUGUCAAAGUGUGAGAAAACCCCAGUUCCAUAACAUCAAGAAGAAGAAUAAGAAAAAGAGAUAAAAACAAAAUUUUCAUUAAAAUAAUGUGUCGAGAAGCCACCUAAUUUAGAAACAAGAAGCCAAUAGCACAUUUGUAACUUGAAAUUCUGUAUAUCAACAGUACAUCAUAUAAGAGAUUACUCAAAAUGCAAAAUAUUGUUCCGCUUCUCCUCAUUCUGCUUCCUCGCUUUUGAGUGGCAAAACCAUUCCAUUAUUCUCCGCUGUAUUUUGUUCCGAUCGGAAUCUGAGAUGUUGUCAAAUUGCAUAAUGGUUCUUUCCCUCAUCUAUCUUCCCAAUUAUAUCUCUCUGCUAAUUUAUUAGAGCAUGUUCUGUACAAUAUUCUCUUGACAGCAUCACCGACAUUUGUACCUCCAAUGGAUUUUAUAUACGCUCGCUGUAAGCAUUAUUUGAGGAAUUACGAUCUUUUAAAAUAGUCUCAAGUUCUGUUAAUUGAAGUAUACUUUGCAAUGAAAAUAGGUUUAAAGCAGCUUCAAAAGAAAAUGGUUUUUUGGUUUCUGCUUUCUCAUUUGCUUUUUUAAGUAAAAUAUCUAACAAGGAGUAUGUGGGGUAACUGGUAAUACAACACUUGUACCUUGUUCUUCACUAUCGGAUGAGGAGACAACUUUCUUUGCCCGAUAUUUCCUAUAAUAUUUAGAUUCUUUCUCGGUAUUUGAUUUCCCUUAUAGAAAUAUCAUACUAAGAAUCAUUGAUAAUUACUUAUUAUCCAGUAUUUUUAAUACUGAAAAUAAGUAAUUAUCAAUGAUUCUUAGUAUGAUAUUUCUAUAAGGGUUGUAUAUUGCCAAUUGUACUUUCUCACCAGCCUUCUGUAUGGAUGCUAAAAAUAUUGUAAAUACUAUUAUUAGUGUUUAGGAAACAAAGUAUAAAGUGUAAAGGAUACUUGCAUAAGUCCUCAUUUUGUAGUCAACUUUUUGGUAUUACUUGGAUACCACCUGAGAAAUCUGCUACGAUGAAUCUUCUAUUAGAUAUCUUUGUCCACAAUUAUAAAUAUAAAU